UCCAACAAGGUGGUCAGACAAACUGUCAGA
rnacentral:piRNA from 1 species